GACGAACGCUGGCGGCGUGCUUAACACAUGCAAGUCGAACGGAAAGGCCCUGCUUUUGUGGGGUGCUCGAGUGGCGAACGGGUGGGUAACACGUGAGUAACCUGCCCUUGACUUUGGGAUAACUUCGGGAAACUGGGGCUAAUACCGGAUAGGAGCUCCUGCUGCAUGGUGGGGGUUGGAAAGUUUCGGCGGUUGGGGAUGGACUCGCGGCUUAUCAGCUUGUUGGUGGGGUAGUGGCUUACCAAGGCUUUGACGGGUAGCCGGCCUGAGAGGGUGACCGGCCACAUUGGGACUGAGAUACGGCCCAGACUCCUACGGGAGGCAGCAGUGGGGAAUAUUGCACAAUGGGCGGAAGCCUGAUGCAGCAACGCCGCGUGCGGGAUGACGGCCUUCGGGUUGUAAACCGCUUUCGCCUGUGACGAAGCGUGAGUGACGGUAAUGGGUAAAGAAGCACCGGCUAACUACGUG
rnacentral:rRNA from 1 species